CCUUGCCCUCCACCCAUCCGU
rnacentral:misc_RNA from 1 species